GUACAAAACUAUUCUAAUUGAUCUUAUGUGCAGUUGACUAAGAUUAAAAUUCCUACAUUAUGAAGCAUUGAAUCCAUGAUUGUGAAUGUGUAGCUAUGUUAUUAGUAAAUCAUAUGAUAUGGGUUAAAAUAACAGCCCAUAAAUAUAUUGUUAAUAAAAGUAGCCCAAAGGCAGAAAGCCCACUUGUUAAGGCCCGGUCUUAGAUUUUUAAAUUAAUUUCGUAAUUAGUUAAUGUUAUAAAAAGGCAUGCCAGGUUUUCUACAAUCAGCAUUGUGGAUUACCAACGCCCAUGGCCAGAAUCGUGAGUUACUAACGUUUGUAGCCCAACUUCGUGGGCAGCCCAAUCAAAGUGGUACAAAACCACAGAAGAUUUCAAGAAGGAUCCAGAAUUUAUCUCCUAGAGUUCUGGAUAAUUACAAACUCUAAUGGAUAAUCUCCAAACUCUAAACCUAUUCUAUCUCUGCCCCUCAAUCUAGAACUACGUUUUUCACUUGAUCCUUUAGGAACGUGAAGGUACAUGGGCAUCUCGGAAAUACUGUUCGAGUUCCUGAAGUAUGAGACCAGCCAUAAAAGCUUGACGCUCACCUUUGGCAACCCUAGGGCAGCAANGCAGCCAUAAAAGCUUGACGNAUACUGUUCGAGUUCCUGAAGUAUGAGAGCAGCCAUAAAAGCUUGACGCUCACCUUUGGCAACCCUAGGGCAGCAACUGAUUGUUAUCUAUAACAUCAUGAUUAGUACUCUAGAUUCAUUCUACAUUUUUGUUAAAUUUAUGUACAGAAUGUAUCAUUUUGCAAUUAUGUUCUUAAAUUUGAGCAAUUGAAAUUUGUUUACUUGUAAAACUAUAGGUUGAAUCGAAGAAGUUUGGAAUACUGUCAAACUGGCAAAGAGAAUACACCAUGGAAGAUAUAUUGACUCAGCUGAAGAAAGACAUCGCUGCACCGCACAAUCGUAAGCUGGUCCAGCCUCCAGAAGGUACCUAUUUCUAGUCCAAGAUCAUCAAGGCAUCAUGGACUUGAUUGCUGAUUCCAUAUGCAAAUUUGUAGUUUGUAAUUGGUAUUCCAUCUUGGAAUGUAAAUGUUAUGGGGAAUGCUUUGAGAAGCUUAUCCUACUAC
rnacentral:lncRNA from 1 species